AAUCAAUGAAAUUGAUCUCACAGUACAAAAGCUGUGAUAUACCCAUAAGACGAAAAGACCCUAUGGAGCUUUAAACUACUAUACUACUAACCCCUAGACCGCCCCCUGCCUAGUAUAUAUUUUUAGUUGGGGCAACUACGGAGCAAAACAAAAACUCCAUGACAAACACAUAACUCGCGCGCACCCCAGGCCGCCACGCCACACUAAUAUCUGACCCAGUACAACUGAACAUCGAACCAAGUUACCCUAGGGAUAACAGCGCCAUCUUCCCCCAAGAGCCCAUAUCAACGGGGAGGCUUACGACCUCGAUGUUGGAUCAGGACCCCCAGGCGGUGCAGCCGCUGCCAAAGGUUCGUUUGUUCAACGACUAACGUCCU
rnacentral:rRNA from 1 species